GAAUCCUGGCAGGCAGCGCUGGCGACCACAACCUCGAGCAGACCAGUGGUCCGCCUCAAGUCACCUCACCGCCAGCCUCCACCCCUAUCCUCUCCCCCAAAGCAAUCGACCUCGUCUCCCACCCUCUCCUCCUCGCCUCAUCAGAAUAGAAGAGAACAGGGAGAUCGACCAGGUCAGGCGCCGGUCAUGGCGGCGGCCAGAUCCGCCACGGCCGUAGCCACCUCGCUGAGGCUCAGAUCUUGGCUGCCAUGGAGGUCAGAACAACACGCCGGGACAAGACCUAACCUCGACCACAUGAGAAGAUGUCUGCCUGCUCCGCGCCACCGACGCCAUGGAGCUUCCCCCUUCUAGCAGAAACGAGGACAUGGCGCCAUGCAAGCGAGAGGAGCAAGGUGGCUUCUGGGGCUUAGAAUAGCAGGGUGAGAUGGAGUUUUGUGGAGCACUAAGAUAGAUACAGUUACGGUACUGUAUUUUGAGUAGUAUUUCUGGUUCAUCAGGUUUGGUAUUGGGAUUGGUUGCUCUCGCCUGUUGUGAUGUUGGGUUGCUAUUUACCCAUAUUCGUGUAAUAAGUAGUUGGUUGUAUAGAAUUCUGUAGUUGGAUGUAGAGUUCUUGCUUCGAUUCUGAGGUGUUUUGUGUCUGUUAAUUUAUAAUCAUGGCUGAUCCUUGUGACCAGAACCUGAAAACUUGCUUUGUAUUAUCAAUUUCAUUACUGCAAAU
rnacentral:rRNA from 1 species